rnacentral:rRNA from 1 species
GACGAACGCUGGCGGCGUGCCUAACACAUGCAAGUCGAACGGAACUGUUUUGAAAGAUUUCUUCGGAAUGAAUUUGAUUUAGUUUAGUGGCGGACGGGUGAGUAACGCGUGAGUAACCUGCCUUCAAGAGGGGAAUAACAUUCUGAAAAGAAUGCUAAUACCGCAUGACAUAUCGGAACCACAUGGUUUUGAUAUCAAAGAUUUUAUCGCUUGAAGAUGGACUCGCGUCCGAUUAGUUAGUUGGUGAGGUAACGGCUCACCAAGACCGCGAUCGGUAGCCGGACUGAGAGGUUGAACGGCCAAAUUGGGACUGAGACACGGCCCAGACUCCUACGGGAGGCAGCAGUGGGGGAUAUUGCGCAAUGGGGGCAACCCUGACGCAGCAACGCCGCGUGAAGGAUGAAGGUUUUCGGAUUGUAAACUUCUUUUAUUAAGGACGAAAAAUGACGGUACUUAAUGAAUAAGCUCCGGCUAACUACGUG